GCUACACUUAUUCAAUGAGAACGUUAGUAAACACUCAAAUACUAGAAAACUGAAUUUUUGGUGGAAUGGGUGUCUGUGUGCCCAUUUUGUUGCAAGAUUUCUCCUUAAUUUCUCUUUGUUCUGUCUUGUUGUUGGUUGUUGCAAGAUUUCUUUACACAGAUGUGGCCCAAAUGCAUGGCGCAAUUCAAGGAUGAUUGCCACAUGGGAGAGUCGUAAGUGGAAUCAACGUUGCCUACAAUGAUGUCACUUGCUCUGGUCUCUGCUGAACCGUUACCUCUUCCUGAGGUCUUCCCUGACCACUCACUCAGGAGGACCUCCCAACGCUCCAGGGGGCUUGUCUUGCACCUAUUUGAUUUCCUUCCUAGUGCUGAACACAAUUGGGAAUUGUCUUGUUUGUGAAUAUGGUUGGAGCCUUCUAAAAUGGCUUUCCCAAAUCCCCAUCUGCUGAUAUUCAUGUCCUUGUGUCAUCCCUCCCCCUGAGUUUGGACAGGACUUAGGGACUUGCUUCUAGCAAAUGGAAUACAGCAAAGCGACGGGACGUCACUUCUGAGCUUAUGUUCUAAAAGACGUUAAUCCACCAGCCCCCCACUUGCUUGCUCUGAUGAAGCUGAUCAAAUGGAGAGGUGGAUGUGGCCAAACACUGAAGCAGCCAGUAGCCAACCACCAGCAAGAAACCACACCAAAGAGCUUGGAAGCAAGUUCUCCCUCAGCGGAGCCUUAAUGUGACUGCCUCCUGGCCAGCACCCUGCCUGUGGCCCCUGAGAAACUGUGAGGCAGAAGUCCCAAGCUAAGCCACAGAAACUGUGAGGUAGUAAAUGUUGUCACUAAAUUCUGAGGUGCACCAAUAAAUAAUUAAUACAUGA
ensembl:lincRNA